rnacentral:rRNA from 1 species
GGGGCUAUUCUGCAAGUCGAGCGAACAGACGAGGAGCUUGCUCCUCUGACGUUAGCGGCGGACGGGUGAGUAACACGUGGAUAACCUACCUAUAAGACUGGGAUAACUUCGGGAAACCGGAGCUAAUACCGGAUAAUAUAUUGAACCGCAUGGUUCAAUAGUGAAAGACGGUUUUGCUGUCACUUAUAGAUGGAUCCGCGCCGCAUUAGCUAGUUGGUAAGGUAACGGCUUACCAAGGCAACGAUGCGUAGCCGACCUGAGAGGGUGAUCGGCCACACUGGAACUGAGACACGGUCCAGACUCCUACGGGAGGCAGCAGUAGGGAAUCUUCCGCAAUGGGCGAAAGCCUGACGGAGCAACGCCGCGUGAGUGAUGAAGGUCUUCGGAUCGUAAAACUCUGUUAUUAGGGAAGAACAAAUGUGUAAGUAACUAUGCACGUCUUGACGGUACCUAAUCAGAAAGCCACGGCUAACUACGUGCCAGCAGCCGCGGUAAUACGUAGGUGGCAAGCGUUAUCCGGAAUUAUUGGGCGUAAAGCGCGCGUAGGCGGUUUUUUAAGUCUGAUGUGAAAGCCCACGGCUCAACCGUGGAGGGUCAUUGGAAACUGGAAAACUUGAGUGCAGAAGAGGAAAGUGGAAUUCCAUGUGUAGCGGUGAAAUGCGCAGAGAUAUGGAGGAACACCAGUGGCGAAGGCGACUUUCUGGUCUGUAACUGACGCUGAUGUGCGAAAGCGUGGGGAUCAAACAGGAUUAGAUACCCUGGUAGUCCACGCCGUAAACGAUGAGUGCUAAGUGUUAGGGGGUUUCCGCCCCUUAGUGCUGCAGCUAACGCAUUAAGCACUCCGCCUGGGGAGUACGACCGCAAGGUUGAAACUCAAAGGAAUUGACGGGGACCCGCACAAGCGGUGGAGCAUGUGGUUUAAUUCGAAGCAACGCGAAGAACCUUACCAAAUCUUGACAUCCUCUGAACCCCUCUAGGAGAUAGAGUUUUUCCCCUUCGGGGGGACAGAAUUGACAGGUGGGUGCAUGGGUUGUCGUCAGCUC